rnacentral:lncRNA from 1 species
CAUUAACCAUCAUCAAAUCAAUAAACCUCUGCUGCUUCCACCCUGAGCCUAGUUUGCGCAUGGGAGAAGUAACAGUGUCUUUAGAAAUCAGCACUAGGCACAGCUCUCAAUAUGGCUGUAUGUCUUUGAAGGACACUCCUCAGACAUUCCUAAAAUAAAUUUCCUUUGUCCCUUAUUUUACAUCAGACAAACACAAACAAGCUCUUCUAAUUUGGUGAGAAUCUGUCUAGUUGUUUUCAUUUGAUGUAAUAAAGAGCAGGCAGAAAUUUUGCUUUCUCCACAUGAUUGACUAAUACUGUCCUGGAUUCUGAGGCAAAUUCUGUGUUGAUCAAUAACACAUGACCUAAUACAGUAGGAGCUGCUUUGGUGUGUGGUGCUGUUUAGAGAGCUACAUUAUUAUUUCCAUCCUGUAGAACAAGAUGCUUAUGAAAAUACAAAUUCUUGGGUCCUACCUUAGACCUACUGAAUCAGACUUUAAGGUGAAAAUGCAUUUAAACCAGUGUCAAAACUAACAUGUCUUAUUCUUUGGCAAUCUGAAGUAAAAAACCCACCUAGGGCUGUGGGGUGCACCUAAUUGGUAGAGCUCUUGCCUAGCAUGCAUGUGGCCCUAUGUUCAAUCCCCAGCACCCUCAGGCAAGACUUGGACUUUUACAACUAGACUGUGUGUUUUUAAAGACAGGAAGCAGCUCUUAGUCAUCCUGUAGCUCCAGAACCCAGCCAAGGUGCUUCAUAAAUGUUCAUUAAUGAAAUACAUAUUAAUUGGUGUUAAUUAUAUUACAUGUCCAUGAUGUUCUAUGUUAGAGUUAGUUCAUGUGGAUUAAUUACUUAGGACACAGUACAAACUCUUCAAACUGAUUUUUAGCUUUGCCCUAUUCCCAUAGUAUGGAGUACAGAAUUAAAUAAGGCAAAGCAUGACCAGUCCUGCAGAAUUUGCAUGUGGACCUCCUACUUCCCAGCCUCAGUCUUAUUGAUUCUCCAGCCACUUGCCUAAUUUUUUAAGCAAAACAUCUAGUCUGGCCCUACAGCUCAACCUCCAACUCUUAUCAAUUAAAAUAUCUCCAUGCCCCUAGUUGGGACCCACCUGAGCUGGGAAAUCUGCUAUGUAAAUGGGGAUAAGUACAGCAUCAUCAAUCCUUUCCCAUGCUCUCUGCUGCCCCUGGUUUCCCCCCAGGUUGAGAGAGUGGUGGAAAGGGAAAGGCA